rnacentral:lncRNA from 1 species
GUGAUCCGCCCGCCUCGGCCUCCCAAAGUGCUGGGAUUAAAGGCGUGAGCCACCACGCCCGGCCAAGGGGUCCUCUUUUUCACCGAGGCAAAGACACGGAGCCUCUUGACCUAAAGGCUUGGAUCAACAGGGCUGCCCCUGGCACAUUUGUACAGCCUAUUUCCCAGAGAGGCAGAGUGAAGGAGCUGGCAUGUGGGCACCAGUUCACAACCUCCCACACCACACAAAAGACAAGCCCAGGUAAUAUCUACUGUUGAAAUAAAGCCUCGACCCCUGGCCUUGGCCUACAAACCCUAGCUGGCUGCCCCCGCUCUGAUUUCAUCUGGCCUCUUGCUCUCCCUUACCCACCACACUGUGCUGCCUUGGCCCUCUCUCUGCUCCUUGAACAAGCCAAGUGAAUGCCCCCUUCCCUCUACUGGAAGGUUCCUCUCCAGGAUGUUAGAGGGUAGUUCCUCAUCACUGCUCCUCUCAGAUUAAAUAUCAGCUCCUGGAGUAGCCAUCCCUGACCUCCAAUCUAGAGCAGCCCUCCCUCACCCCAGUCAUGACUCUAACACACCACCCUGUUUCAUCUUCAUAAAACAGUUGACAUCAUCUUGUUAUUGAUUUGUUUGCUCGUGUAACUGAAUUUUUUAAUGGGCUGAACCUAAAGAGGGACUAUCCAGAAACUGCUCCACUACUACCUUCAACCAUAUUAUGGUAAAUUUCCCUUUCCCACCCUUAAUGACAUCUCAGGCAGAGUCCUUGGCUUGAGAGGUCAUCCCUACCAGACACGAGAACUAUUCUAUUAAUAUAAUUAAGACCCAUUUUCAGACACAAAAAGUCUGCUCCUGUCCAGAUCAAAAUCUCAUCCAAGUUAAUCAAUAUCACAUCCCAUUUAAUAGUCCUCCUCUCCCCUGUCCCUUUGCUAGAGAUCCUGCAGUGGUGAGAGUGGGGUGUGGUCUGUUUUCCUGACCUCCCUUUUCUGCUGUGGCUCCUCUUUGUCAAGGCUGGGAGAGAGGUGUUAGAGGAAAAGUAGCAAAGUCUUAUGUGACAGGUACCCUUGGUUGGCAGGUGCCAAGCGCUGGCUUUUUCAUGGGCACAUAUGUGGGUUUUUGGGAGGUUCUCUACAGGACCUCCACCCUGAGUUGCCAUAGCAAAUUACUCUCUGGCCAACCUCUCGGAGACCCCUGCAUCCUCUGUCUCUCAUAGGACUGUCCCACCUAUGCCAGGCAAAACAAUGGUGGGUUGGCCGCUCCUCACCCUGCCCACUUCUCACCUUGCCACACAGGCCACUCCAGCGAGGCUCCACGAUCAGAAUUCUCCAGACAGGAAGUGCACACAAGUCUCUUCAUUUAUGUACGUCCUCAAUUCCUAAAGACAUAUGUUGGGUUCUCCCAUGAACUGUCUUGCUGUAGUUUAAUGCACCGAGGUGCCUGUAACAUCCAGCAACAUAGUCAGCAUCAGUGGGGGGACAGUUAUAGGGACAGAGCCUCCUCUUCUUGCAGAUGACUGGUUCUCUCUGGGAGCUCCCUUCAUUUGGUUUGAGUUGGGGAGUUCCCUCAGGGGAAAUCUCAGCCCUGCCCACAAAUGCAGCAGUGUUAUGCUUCAGUGACUUUCUUCAAUCCCUUUCAUUUGUAGACUGGAAUUGAGGGAUGUAGUUUGAUUGCUGUUGAACCUGUUCUGCCUUUAGUAAGGUGUCUAGUACUUCUCUUCAGAAUGCAAGAAUAUUUAGCCCUCAUUGUUCUAUCUUUGUGGCUUCAGCAGAUAUUCCAAGAGCAGAGGAAAAGUCCUAUUCAACAACCUAUAAAAUCAUUUCUUGUCUGACUUCCCAAACCACAAUGACAGCUCUAAAGCAACAGAUAUCUUGUCUGCGUUGCUCACCACUGUUUCUGCAGAACCUAGAACAGCCAAGAAGUAUGUGUGAAAUGGAUAGCUAACUGAAUGAAGGACACAGUAAUCCCAUCAAGUGGGGAGGGCUGGUAUCAUUAGACCCAUUUUAAGAGAGAGGAACUGAGUUCUGGGUGGCAGCUCCUGAUCCAGGUUCAUGUGCUUGCUGCCUUUGGGGCUGGCUCUAAAGAUCUCCUUGAACCCUACCCCUUGCAUUUGACCAUGAAUGCCCCUUAGUUCCCAGAAUGCUGCGUUCUGUUCCUGGGAUGCUGCUCCUUCACAGCUGUGGAAGCCCCAGGUCCACACUUACCUCUCCUUGCCCAGAUAUCCACCCACCUCUGUAGUUCUGGGCUCCCUUCCUCUCCCCGGAACCUACCCACUUCCUUCAGAAGCUCCCCUCUAGAUCCCUCAAGACCCACCUCAGAUCCCCGUGGGCCUCCAAAAGCCAGAAACCUUGGCAUCAUCUUCGUCCCUGAGCUAUUUUUUCCUCCUGUGUGUCCAAGUCAUUAUUACUGCUCCGUCUCCUCCGUCUGCAUUUCUGGAAGUCUGCCGCCCAUUCAUCCCUCACCCUUCGCCUCCGCCAAAACCCUCACGCAGACCAACUUUCCCUCACCAUCGGGCGCCCCUUCCACUCCUCAGUGAGUACAAGUGGUCCUUGGACGUUCCCACCCUGUUCGCCUGGGGACCAUAACCCAGUUCAUCUACUCCAAAGACUGGCAUCUUCUACCCCAUCCCGGCGCCACACUCUGUCCUGCCACCUACUUACUGCCCAUAUCUCCCUUACCCUCUAACUGCUGGGACUGAUUGCAGCUCUUCAGAAUCUCCAAUCCCACAAACACUUGAGUUUUGCUUUUUUUUUUUAACCUGCCAAAAUCGAUAGAGCCUACUUUAGUCCAAACGCCAUACUAAGCAUGUUACAUCAAUUGGCUGAUUUAACCAACCAAAGGAGGCAUUAUGAUUUCCACGCAUACAAAGGAGGAAACUGAGGUUGGCAAUGGCUACUGGCUUGCCCAAGAUGGCACAGCUGAUAAAUAGCAGAGGCAGGAUUCAAACCUGGAUCAUUUUCCACCUGAGCCCAAGCUUUUAAGGUUACACCGCCUUGCCUCCACCCCGGGCUUGUAAGCCUGGAGCCCUCUUCACAAUUGAAUCAUGACCUUUCCAACCACCCCACCACUAUCACCACCAAAGGAGCUCUAGGGCAUAUCCCCAAAUGCCCUCUUCCCUGCCUGCCAGCCCACUGUUCAUGUACCUGGAGCUCAUGUACCUGGAGAUGUGGAGUUAUCAGAACUUUCUGCCACCCUUAAUCCUCUUGGCCCAGUGAAAGAAGGGAAGCUGUUUCAGCAUG